rnacentral:tRNA from 1 species
CAUUAGAAAGCUGAAAGCCAGCUCUGGUCUCUUAAACCAUAUUAUAGUAAAUUAGCGCCUACUUCUAAUG